AGUUAAUUGCAUAGACCCCCCUGUGUUAUUUCUCGGAAGCAAAAAACCCCCCCGGAAAAAUAAAUUAGCAUAUAACCCCCUAUGUUGUGUUUUAGUCAGCCCACCGCCCCUUUGUGUGCACUGGCUCGUUGACUUACAUGAAAUGACAGAAUUGCCCUGAAUAAAAAAUAAAGCAAAAAAGAAAAAAAAAUCAAACUAAUUUAAUUAUAAAUAACCUAAAUUUAGAGGACCAAAUUGUAAUUUCCAAAGUUUACACCUUCUUCCCCAUUUCCGUCAGCACCGCCGCCGUCUGGCCCUCCGACACCCACCCACUCCUUCAAAUUUCUCUCCCUCUACACUGCCGCCGUCUCGAAUCACCGCCGCCCACCCCUCGUUCAAAUUCCUCUCCUCGACACC
rnacentral:lncRNA from 1 species